rnacentral:rRNA from 1 species
CCUGGUUGAUCCUGCCAGUAGUAUAUGCUUGUCUCUGAGAUUAGGCCAUGCAUGUCUCAGUGCAAGCCACAUUAAGGUGAAACCGCGAAUGGCUCAUUACAUCAGUUAUGGUUCCUUAGAUCGUACCCACAUUACUUGGAUAACUGUGGUAAUUCUAGAGCUAAUACAUGCAAAUAGAGUUCCGACCAGAGAUGGAAGGAAUGCUUUUAUUAGAUCAAAACCAAUCGGUGGCGGGCUUGCAUUGCUCACCGUUUGACUUGGUGACUCUGAAUAACUUUGUGCCGAUCGCACGGUCUAGUACCGGCGACGCAUCUUUCAAAUGUCUGCCUUAUCAACUGUCGAUGGUAGUUUCUGCGACUACCAUGGUUGUUACGGGUAACGGAGAAUCAGGGUUCGAUUCCGGAGAGGGAGCCUGAGAAACGGCUACCACAUCCAAGGAAGGCAGCAGGCGCGCAAAUUACCCACUCCCGGCACGGGGAGGUAGUGACGAAAAAUAACGAUACGGGACUCAUCCGAGGCCCCGUAAUCGGAUGAGUACACUUUAAAUCCUUUAACGAGGAUCUAUUAGAGGGCCAGUCUGGUGCCAGCAGCCGCGGUAAUUCCAGCUCUAAUAGCGUAUAUUAAAGUUGUUGCGGUUAAAAAGCUCGUAGUUGAUUCUGUGUCUCACACUGUCGGUUCACCGCUCGCGGUGUUCAACAGGCAUGCUUGUGGGACGUCCUACCGGUGGGCUUAGCCCGUAAAAAGGCAGCCCAACUCAAAAUCCUACCAAAGUGCUCUUCACCAAGUGUCGAAGUGCGCCGGUACGUUAACUUUGAACAAAUUAGAGUGCUUAAAGCAGGCUCAUUCGCCUGAAUAUUGUCUGCAUGGAAUAAUGUAAUAGGACCUCGGUUCUAUUUUGUUGGUUUUGGAAUUCCAAAGUAAUGAUUAAUAGGGACAACUUGGGGCAUUCGUAUUGCGACGUUAGAGGUGAAAUUCUUGGAUAGUCGCAAGACGGACAGAAGCGAAAGCAUUUGCCCAAUGUGGUUUCAUCAAUCAAGACGAAAGUUAGAGGUUCGAAGGCGAUCAGAUCCGCCCUAGUUCUAACCAUAAACGAUGCCAGCUAGCGAUCCGCCGAAGUUCCUCCGAUGACUCGGCAGGCAGCUUCCGGAAACCAAAGCUUUUGGGUUCCGGGGAAGUAUGGUUGCAAAGCUGAAACUUAAAGGAAAUGACGGAAGGGCACUACAAGGAGUGGAGCCUGCGGCUUAAUUUGACUCAACACGAGAAACCUCACCAGGUCCAGACACCGGAAGGAUUGACAGAUUGAGAGCUCUUUCUUGAUUCGGUGGGUGGUGGUGCAUGGCCGUUCUUAGUUGGUGGAGUGAUUUGUCUGGUUAAUUCUGAUAACGAACGAGACUCUAGCCUGCUAAAUAAACGUACUUUCUGGUAUCGCAAAGACCCUCCGCUUCGGCUUCGGUCGUUGUUGGUUGUGGUUCUCACUACCGGCGUACAAAUAUAUCUUCUUAGAGGGACAGGCGACAUUCAGUCGCACGAAAUUGAGCAUUAACAGGUCUGUAAUGCCCUUAGAUGUUCUGGGCCGCACGCGAGCUACACUGAAGAGAUCAGCAGGUUUUCCUUGGCCGAAAGGUCCGGUAAUCCGUUGAAGCCUCUUCGUGCUAGGGAUUGUGGCUUGCAAUUCUUCCGCAUGAACGAGGAAUUCCUAGUAAGUGCGAGUCAUAAGCUUGCGUUGAUUAUGUCCCUGCCCUUUGUACACACUGCCCGUCGCUACUACCGAUUGAAUUAUUUAGUGAGGUCUUCGGACCGGUGCGCGGCAGCGUUUUGAAAUUGCCGAUGUUGCUGGGAAGAUAACCAAACUUGAUUAUUUAGAGGAAGUAAAAGUCGUAACAAGGUUCCGUAGGUGAACCUGCGGAAG